rnacentral:ncRNA from 1 species
AUAACAUAAAGGUUUGGUCCUAGCCUUUCUAUUAGCUUCUAGUAAGAUUAUACAUGCAAGUCUCCGCACUCCGGUGAAAAUGCCCUCUGGAUCACCUAAACGACUCAGAGGAGCGGGUAUCAAGCACGCUACAAAGCAGCUCAAAACACCUUGCCUAGCCACACCCCCACGGGACACAGCAGUGAUAAAAAUUAAGCCAUGAACGAAAGUUUGACUAAGCUAUACUAAUAAUUAGGGUUGGUAAAUUUCGUGCCAGCCACCGCGGUCAUACGAUUAACCCAAGUUAAUAGACAAACGGCGUAAAACGUGUUAAGGGGCCAUCACAUAACUAAUAAAGUUAAAUCAAAACUGUGCCGUAGAAAGCUUCAGCCCAGACAAAAAUAAACCACGAAAGUGACUUUAAAUUAACCCGACUACACGAUAGCUAAGACAUAAACUGGGAUUAGAUACCCCACUAUACUUAGCCCUAAACCAAAAUAGCUAAUAUAUAACAAUGCUAUUCGCCAGAGUACUACUAGCAACAGCUUAAAACUCAAAGGACUUGGCGGUGCUUUAUAUCCCUCUAGAGGAGCCUGUUCUAUAAUCGAUACACCCCGAUAAACCUCACCAACUCUAGCUAAUACAGCCUAUAUACCGCCAUCUUCAGCAAACCCUAAAAAGGAACUACAGUAAGCAAGAACAUUUACCAUAAAAACGUUAGGUCAAGGUGUAGCCUAUGAGUUGGAAAGAAAUGGGCUACAUUUUCUAAUAUAGAAUACAACGAAAAUUUUCGUGAAACCGAAAAUAGAAGGAGGAUUUAGUAGUAAACUAAGAAUAGAGAGCUUAGUUGAAUAAGGCCAUGAAGCACGCACACACCGCCCGUCACCCUCCUCAAGCGCAAAAAUGCAUUCAUAUAUAAACUUAUUUACAACGCAUAUACACGUAAGAGGAGACAAGUCGUAACAAGGUAAGCGUACUGGAAGGUGCGCUUGGACAAACCAAAGUGUAGCUUAUGUAAAGCACCUGGCUUACACCCAGAAGAUUCCAUGCAAAAUGGCCACUUUGAACAAACGCUAGCCCACACCCCCACAAAAACUCAACUAACACACAAACAAUAAAACAAAACAUUUACCCCUAAUUAAAGUAUAGGAGAUAGAAAUUCUAAUAGGCGCUAUAGAGAUAGUACCGCAAGGGAAAGAUGUAAGAAGAGUUAAAAGUAAGAAAUAGCAAAGAUUACCCCUUGUACCUUUCGCAUAAUGAUUUAACCAGAACAACUUGACAAAGAGAACUUAAGCCAAGGAACCCGAAACCAGACGAGCUACCUGAAGACAGCUAUUAGAGCAAACUCAUCUAUGUGGCAAAAUAGUGAGAAGAUCAUUAGGUAGUGGUGAAAAGCCUAUCGAGCCUGGUGAUAGCUGGUUGUCCAGGACAGAAUUUUAGUUCAACUUUAAGUCAUGCCAGACAAAUUUAUAAUUAAAAUGCAGACUUAAAAUAUAUUCUAAAAGGGUACAGCCUUUUAGAGACAGGAUACAACCUUUAUUAGAGAGUAAGUACAAAAACUUUCAUAGUCGGCUUAAAAGCAGCCACCAAUUAAGAAAGCGUUCAAGCUCAACAACCAUAAUAAAAUUGAAUAUAGAUAAUAUACUACGAACUCCUAAUCCAAUACUGGACUAAUCUAUUACACUAAUAGAAGUAAUACUGUUAAUAUAAGUAACAAGAACAAGUUUCUCCCCCGCACAAGCUUAUAUCAGAACGGAUAACCCACUGAUAGUUAACAGCAAGAUAAAUCAAACUUCACAACCUAACACUUUAUCAAAUUAACUGUUGACCCAACACAGGAGUGCGCCAAGGGAAAGAUUAAAAGAAGUAAAAGGAACUCGGCAAACACAAACCCCGCCUGUUUACCAAAAACAUCACCUCCAGCAUAUCAAUUAUUGGAGGCACUGCCUGCCCAGUGACAUCUGUUAAACGGCCGCGGUAUCCUGACCGUGCAAAGGUAGCAUAAUCAUUUGUUCUCUAAAUAAGGACUUGCAUGAAUGGCCACACGAGGGUUUUACUGUCUCUUACUUCCAAUCAGUGAAAUUGACCUUCCCGUGAAGAGGCGGGAAUACACAAAUAAGACGAGAAGACCCUAUGGAGCUUCAAUUAACCAACCCACAAAUUAACAAAACACAAUUCCAAGGAAUAUAAACCUCAUUUAAAUGGGUUGACAAUUUAGGUUGGGGUGACCUCGGAACAUAAAAUAACUUCCGAGUGAUAAAGUUCUAGACUAACAAGUCAACAUAUUAUAAUAAUCACUUAUUGAUCCAAAAAAUUUGAUCAACGGAACAAGUUACCCUAGGGAUAACAGCGCAAUUCUGUUUGAGAGUCCAUAUCGAUAACAGGGUUUACGACCUCGAUGUUGGAUCAGGACAUCCCAAUGGUGCAGCCGCUAUUAAUGGUUCGUUUGUUCAACGAUUAAAGUCCUACGUGAUCUGAGUUCAGACCGGAGUAAUCCA